rnacentral:tRNA from 1 species
GGUAUGGCCAAGUGGUAAGGCGUCAGACUCUGACUCUGAUUAUCGUAGGUUCGAAUCCUACUACC